GGGAAUAUAGCUCAGUUGGUAGUAGCACCGGAUUAAAAUCCGUAGGCGCAGGUUCGAUUCCUGCUAUUCCCAC
rnacentral:tRNA from 1 species